rnacentral:rRNA from 1 species
GAGGAAUAUUGGUCAAUGGGCGCAGGCCUGAACCAGCCAAGUAGCGUGAAGGAUGACUGCCCUAUGGGUUGUAAACUUCUUUUAUAAAGGAAUAAAGUCAGGUAUGUAUACCCGUUUGCAUGUACUUUAUGAAUAAGGAUCGGCUAACUCCGUGCCAGCAGCCGCGGUAAUACGGAGGAUCCGAGCGUUAUCCGGAUUUAUUGGGUUUAAAGGGAGCGUAGAUGGAUGUUUAAGUCAGUUGUGAAAGUUUGCGGCUCAACCGUAAAAUUGCAGUUGAUACUGGAUAUCUUGAGUGCAGUUGAGGCAGGCGGAAUUCGUGGUGUAGCGGUGAAAUGCUUAGAUAUCACGAAGAACUCCGAUUGCGAAGGCAGCCUGCUAAGCUGCAACUGACAUUGAGGCUCGAAAGUGUGGGUAUCAAAC